rnacentral:rRNA from 1 species
GUAUCGAUGCCACUAGCGAUCCGCCGGCGGAAUCGUCCCCCUGUCGGGGAUCUUCCCGGAAACGAAAGUCUUCCGGUUCCGGGGGAAUUAUGGUUGCAAAGCUGAAACUUAAAGGAAUUGACGGAAGGGCACCACCAGGAGUGGAGCCUGCGGCUUAAUUUGACUCAACCCGGAAAAACUCACCCGGCCCGGACACCGUGAGGAUUGACAAAUUGAUGACUUUUUCAUGAUUCGGGGGAUGGGGGUGCAUGGCCGUUCUUAUUUCGGGGAGCGAUUUGUCUGGUUUAUUCCAAUAACAAGCGAAACUCUGGCCUACUAAAUAGUUGGUGCAUUGCCUCUGUGCACACAACUUCUUAAAGGGAUUUUCGGUGUUCACCCGCACGAAAUUGACCAAUAACAGGUCUGUGAUGCCCUUAAAUGUCCGGGGCUGCACGCGCGCUACACUGGCGAAAUCACCGUGCUUGUCCUCGUCCGAAAGGACUUGGUAAACCCGUGAAAAUUUGCCGUGAUUGGGAUCGGACAUUGCAAUUAUUGUCCGUGAACGAGGAAUUCCUUGUAGGGGCGAGUCAUCAACUCGCUCUGAAUACGUCCCCGCCCUUUGUACACACCGCCCGUCGCUGCCCGGGACUGAGCCAUUUCGAGAAACUCGGGGACUGAUGACGUCGAGCUUACGCGUGUAUGCUUUGUGUCGUCUGAGAUCGAUUUAAUCUCACUGGCUUGAACCGGGCAAAGUCGUAACAUGCUAUCUGUAAGCGACCUGCGACGGAUGACGAGCGAUUCACGGCUGCUGAUCAAUCGUCCUAGAUGAUACUAUACAUCAGUCGGUCGUCGCUGCUCGCUGCUCUCUUCGGAGAAGGCGGAGGCAUAUUUGAGGGCGUUAUCUCCAUCCUGGCCCACUCGUUAGAACAUAGCUGGUC